UGAUCUCUCAUCUUUUUUCAAUUUCAUUCUCUCUCUCUCUCUCUCUAAGUUUACAAGUCUGUCUUCCAUCACUUUGCCCAACAUGCUUCCCUCUUUUAUGGUGGCGAGUUAACGGUGAAAAGACCCAUGAGGAGAGUAUGACCUAAUGCUCAUAUCUUCCCAACACACGCACACGCACGCAAGGUUUUUAGGUUUCUCUCCCCAAUGAUCAGCUAAACAUGAAGAAUAGAAACUAAUACGUACGUGUAUUGGAACUGGAAGCAUGCUAUACGGCGAUGGAUAAUACUUGAAUUUUGGUUGAAUAUAACUCGAUCGUUGUUCAAGCUCGGGAGAUGAUGAUUACUUGUCCGAAGCUGCCGUUCGAUCGUGAGUCUUCAAGUGUUGUUAUACGGUAUACCACGAGUUGUAGGUAUAACAACAACAUGGAGAUAGAUGGUUUAAUUUGUUGGUAUAUGGCAGUACUGAGUAGUGGAAGUGGAAAAUCUGGUCUGCUUGGUUAAACGAAACAUACGCACAUGAUCUUACGAAUUUGCUAGCUCCAUGUUGGGAUUAUUACAUGCAUGCAACGGGUUCCAAAAAUGUGUCUUUAAUGUGCAUUUGUUUUAUAUGUAAUAACAUUUGACUGUUGGCCUGUUGUCUUUGUACGUACUCCAUUGUCUUUUUGGCUGUAGUACCAGAACCAGAUUGAGAUGAUCAUUAGCGCCUGCACAUUUCUAGAUCCCCAUUUGCAUUGACUUGUUUACCAUAUAUGGCUUCCAACAUUAAUGCUGCAUGGCCUAGUUUCAUUGGGCUUGAUAUUUUUAGCACCAAUCGAGGAACAAAUUAUAUGUACGUUCAGAGUCUCGGCGGAGGCUGCAUACACAAUC